GCGGCUGUGGCGGAAUUGGUAGACGCGCAAGGUUGAGGGCCUUGUGACCCCUAGGGUCGUGGAGGUUCAAGUCCUCUCAGCCGCA
rnacentral:tRNA from 1 species